GGCAACCCGCCACCACUUCCCCUGGAAGCCGCCAUGGCCAUGCUCGCCUUCUCCUCCCGACCCAUCGCCUCCUCCUCCGCCUUCAUCCUCCCGAAGCCGUUCAAACCCAAGCACCGCCUCCUCCUCCCCAAACCCUUCGCCUCUGCCGUCACGCCGCCGAGCCCUCGGGGCGACCCCACCCCCGUCCCGGACGCGGACCCCACCCCGCUCUUCCUCCGCCCGCCGUCGCACCCGGUCUCGGCCGCCUCCCUCGCCGCCUUCCGCCGCCGCGCGGCCGCCCUCGUCCCCCCCUCCGCGCCGCACCUCCACCGCCACCUCCGCUGGCUCCUCGCCGACGCCGCACCCGACCCCGACUCCGACCCGGCGCUCCUCCGCGCGCCGCUGGCCGACCUCGGGGCCCUCUGGCUCCACCACGUUCGUGAACGGCGCCCGUUCCAGUACGUGGUCGGGAACGAGCACUGGCGGGACCUGGUGGUGGCGGUCCGGGAGGGCGUGCUUAUCCCGCGGCCCGAGACGGAGGCGGUCGUGGACGUGGUGCGGAAAGCCGAGGGGUUCGGGGCGGGGUGGUGGGCGGACCUCGGGACCGGGAGCGGCGCCAUUGCCGUAGCCGUGGCGAGGGAGCUCGGGCCACACGGGAAGGUUUUCGCCACCGAUGUCAGUGAGGUGGCCAUCGAGGUCGCGCGGCUCAACGUCGAGAGGUAUGGCGUGCAGGAUAAAGUUGAAAUAAGGCAUGGCUCAUGGUUCAAACCUCUGGAAGAUAUGAAAGGAAAACUCAUGGGUGUGAUUAGUAACCCCCCAUAUAUACCAACCGAUGACCUACCUGGACUGCAACCUGAGGUUGGUUGUCAUGAACCAAAGUUGGCACUCGACGGGGGCAAGGAUGGCCUUGAGCAUCUGCUCCAUCUUUGUGAAGGGUUAUCUUCAGCUCUAAAGUCUGGUGGUUUCUUUAUUUUUGAGACAAAUGGCAACAAGCAGUCCGAAUUUCUUGUUGACUUGAUAAGUACAAAGUGGAGUUCUUCUUUUCGUGAUGUGGAGGCAGUUUUAGACUUUGCAGAUAUCAAACGUUUUGUAACAGGAUAUCGCAGAUGAACACUUAAGGCCAUUUCAGAGACAGGUUUUGUUCGCUUACAAUUUUGGGGUAUGGGACUAGCUUAUGUGCUUCAGCAAAAUAUUGCAUUUGAUCCAAAAGUAUUUGUUGAUUUUGGUCUCCUAUCUCUUCAAUACUGCUGGUUCCAGUCCUUUAUAAGCUCUGCAGUUUUGUUGAUUUCCAGUCCUUUGUUGCUAACUCCUCCAGUUGAAAAUUUUGUGCAGUGCGAGUUGAUUUGCAUGAUCAUGACAAUACCAUAAUUAGAUUAUGCAGGCUUUCUAGCUGUCAUCAAUAAGGUUCAUAAGAAGUUGCAUCUGAACUGUCCAUGCUUUAGCCGAUUGCUCUCCCCAUUUGAAAAAUCAAUGUUCUGGGCUGGCUUAAGCAAGAAGCGAACAACCCAUUGCGUUGUCCCUCUGCAGAGCUUAUUAGUGGCAAUAAUAUAGUGCAAGUCAAUCCUUGUUCACCAAUUUGCAGAGCGAACAAUCCUUGCAUUUAAGCCCGUUGUGGCGAUAAUAUAGUGCAAGUCAAUCAUCAUAUUAUUUAUGCAUGUGAGACAAUAUUUUCGCCAAGCUGCGAUGGUCCAACUGACCAAGGAAGCUCCACACUAAAACGAGUCUUGUAGCAGUUUGCAUGAAAGAAAAUGUAUGUAUUUGGCCACUUGUUUUGUGGCGUGUUGGGCGAUGAUUGUGAUUCAAAGGUGAGGCUUUUUGUAGCGUCCAAAAUUAUUCCGCCGUCCACACGCCACCUUGUGCGCUUAAUUAUUGACGCUGUGGCCCAGGCUAUUGAUUUUGUAAUCUUGUU